GAUCCUGGCUCAGGAUGAACGCUGGCGGCGUGCUUAACACAUGCAAGUCGAACGAAGCACUCUAUUUGAUUUCCUUCGGGAUUGAUUAUUUGUGACUGAGUGGCGGACGGGUGAGUAACGCGUGGGUAACCUGCCUCAUACAGGGGGAUAACAGUUGGAAACGGCUGCUAAUACCGCAUAAGCGCACAGUACCGCAUGGUACCGUGUGAAAAACUCCGGUGGUAUGAGAUGGACCCGCGUCUGAUUAGCUAGUUGGUGGGGUAACAGCCUACCAAGGCGACGAUCAGUAGCCGACCUGAGAGGGUGACCGGCCACAUUGGGACUGAGACACGGCCCAAACUCCUACGGGAGGCAGCAGUGGGGAAUAUUGCACAAUGGGGGAAACCCUGAUGCAGCGACGCCGCGUGAGCGAAGAAGUAUUUCGGUAUGUAAAGCUCUAUCAGCAGGGAAGAUAAUGACGGUACCUGACUAAGAAGCACCGGCUAAAUACGUG
rnacentral:rRNA from 1 species